AACAAGGCUCUUUUCAGAGCCGCCCACAAAAUCACAAAAGGUUGA
rfam:Leptosomus discolor contig98363, whole genome shotgun sequence.